UACGUAGGGUGCGAGCGUUGUCCGGAAUUACUGGGCGUAAAGAGCUCGUAGGUGGUUUGCCGCGUUGUCCGUGAAAACUCACAACUCAAUUGUGGGCGUGCGGGCGAUACGGGCAGACUGGAGUACUGCAGGGGAGACUGGAAUUCCUGGUGUAGCGGUGGAAUGCGCAGAUAUCAGGAGGAACACCGGUGGCGAAGGCGGG
rnacentral:rRNA from 1 species